AGAGUUUGAUCAUGGCUCAGGAUGAACGCUAGCGGCAGGCUUAAUACAUGCAAGUCGUGGGGCAGCAUGGUGUAGCAAUACACUGAUGGCGACCGGCAAACGGGUGCGGAACACGUACGCAACCUUCCUUUAACUGGAGAAUAGCCCGGGGAAACCCGGAUUAAUACUCCGUAACAUUAUGAAGUGGCAUCACUUUAUAAUUAUAGCUCCGGCGGUUGAAGAUGGGCGUGCGUCUGAUUAGGUAGUUGGCGGGGUAACGGCCCACCAAGCCUACGAUCAGUAACUGGUGUGAGAGCACGACCAGUCACACGGGCACUGAGACACGGGCCCGACUCUUACGGGAGGCAGCAGUAAGGAAUAUUGGUCAAUGGACGCAAGUCUGAACCAGCCAUGCCGCGUGAAGGAUGAAGGUCCUCUGGAUUGUAAACUUCUUUUAUUUGGGAAGAAACCCAUGAUUUCUAUCGUGGUUGACGGUACCAGAUGAAUAAGCACCGGCUAACUCCGUGCCAGCAGCCGCGGUAAUACGGAGGGUGCAAGCGUUAUCCGGAUUCACUGGGUUUAAAGGGUGCGUAGGCGGGUUGGUAAGUCCGUGGUGAAAUCUCCAAGCUUAACUUGGAAACUGCCGUGGAUACUAUCAAUCUUGAAUAUAGUGGAGGUGAGCGGAAUAUGUCAUGUAGCGGUGAAAUGCUUAGAUAUGACAUAGAACACCCAUUGCGAAGGCAGCUCGCUACACUAUUAUUGACGCUGAGGCACGAAAGCGUGGGGAUCAAACAGGAUUAGAUACCCUAGUAGUCC
rnacentral:rRNA from 1 species